rnacentral:rRNA from 1 species
AUGGAGCCGACCUUGAAAUACCACCCUUUAAUGUUUGAUGUUCUAACGUUGACCCGUAAUCCGGGUUGCGGACAGUGUCUGGUGGGUAGUUUGACUGGGGCGGUCUCCUCCUAAAGAGUAACGGAGGAGCACGAAGGUUGGCUAAUCCUGGUCGGACAUCAGGAGGUUAGUGCAAUGGCAUAAGCCAGCUUGACUGCGAGCGUGACGGCGCGAGCAGGUGCGAAAGCAGGUCAUAGUGAUCCGGUGGUUCUGAAUGGAAGGGCCAUCGCUCAACGGAUAAAAGGUACUCCGGGGAUAACAGGCUGAUACCGCCCAAGAGUUCAUAUCGACGGCGGUGUUUGGCACCUCGAUGUCGGCUCAUCACAUCCUGGGGCUGAAGUAGGUCCCAAGGGUAUGGCUGUUCGCCAUUUAAAGUGGUACGCGAGCUGGGUUUAGAACGUCGUGAGACAGUUCGGUCCCUAUCUGCCGUGGGCGCUGGAGAACUGAGGGGGGCUGCUCCUAGUACGAGAGGACCGGAGUGGACGCAUCACUGGUGUUCGGGUUGUCAUGCCAAUGGCACUGCCCGGUAGC